rnacentral:rRNA from 1 species
UGGGGAAUAUUGGACAAUGGGCGAAAGCCUGAUCCAGCCAUGCCGCGUGUGUGAAGAAGGUCUUCGGAUUGUAAAGCACUUUAAGUUGGGAGGAAGGGCAGUUACCUAAUACGUAUCUGUUUUGACGUUACCGACAGAAUAAGCACCGGCUAACUCUGUGCCAGCAGCCGCGGUAAUACAGAGGGUGCAAGCGUUAAUCGGAAUUACUGGGCGUAAAGCGCGCGUAGGUGGUUUGUUAAGUUGGAUGUGAAAUCCCCGGGCUCAACCUGGGAACUGCAUUCAAAACUGACAAGCUAGAGUACGGUAGAGGGUGGUGGAAUUUCCUGUGUAGCGGUGAAAUGCGUAGAUAUAGGAAGGAACACCAGUGGCGAAGGCGACCACCUGGACUGAUACUGACACUGAGGUGCGAAAGCGUGGGGAGCAAACAGGAUUAGAUACCCCGGUAGUCCCUGAGCGGGCUGGCAAGGCGCAU